rnacentral:rRNA from 1 species
GUCCACGCCGUAAACGAUGAGUGCUAGAUGUAGGGAGCUAUAAGUUCUCUGUAUCGCAGCUAACGCAAUAAGCACUCCGCCUGGGGAGUACGACCGCAAGGUUGAAACUCAAAGGAAUUGACGGGGGCCCGCACAAGCGGUGGAGCAUGUGGUUUAAUUCGAAGCAACGCGAAGAACCUUACCAGGUCUUGACAUACUCGUGCUAUUCCUAGAGAUAGGAAGUUCCUUCGGGACACGGGAUACAGGUGGUGCAUGGUUGUCGU